AACGGCCGUACCAUGCUGAAUAUACCGGUUCUCGUUAGAUCACCGAAGUCAAGCAUCGUUGGGCGCGGUCAGUACAUGGGUGGGUGACCACCUGGGAACACCGCGUGCCGUU
rnacentral:rRNA from 1 species